UACAGAGGGUGCAAGCGGUGUCCGGAAUCACUGGGCGUAAAGGGCGCGUAGGCGGCCGGGUAAGUAAGGGGUGAAAUCUCAUGGCUCAACUGUGAGGCUGCCUCUUAGACUGCCUGGCUGGAGCAUGGCAGAGGCUGGUGGAAUUCCCGGUGUAGCGGUGGAAUGCGUAGAGAUCGGGAAGAACAUCGGUGGCGAAGGCGGCCGGCUGGGCCAUUGCUGACGCUGAGGCGCGAAAGCGUGGGGAGCAAACAGG
rnacentral:rRNA from 1 species